rnacentral:lncRNA from 1 species
CUCAGGGCACCCAUCUCCUUCCCAGCUCUUGCUGUAGGCCAUCAAGGACGAGGCUGGCUUUUCCGCACCCCCGCCUGGCUAUGAGCAGGACAGCCCCGUCUCCUAUGACCGUUCUCAGGGGCAGUUUUCUCCGGUGGAGGAGAGCCCCCCUGACGACAUGCCCGAAGCCUGGCUCUUCCCUGUGAGAUGAUGCUGGUUUUGCCACUGUUUCCUGCCCUCUCUGACCACCUGUACUUCCCGGGCUGGGGCUGCUGGGGGCUCCCAGAGUUGUGGACUGGGCAGGGGGCACCUUCAGUCUCUGGAAGCCAAUGAUCUGUGCUCUGCAGGGUGGGCCCUCUGGCCGUGAUCAUACGGUGCUGACUGGCCCCGCAGGGCCAAAGGAGCUCUGGGAGCUGGUGUGGCAGCACAGGGCUCAUGUGCUUGUCUCUCUUUGCCCACCCAAUGUCAUGGAGAAGGUGACAGAGCAGAGGACAGAGGAAGGGAGGCUCAGGAGUUAGGGGUGAGGAUGGAGGCGGGUAGUUUGUGGUGCUGUCUGUGACCAGGGCAGGGGCAGAGAUCUCAGGAAGUUGCCUGAGCAGCCCUAACUUGGUCCCAGCCAUAGGAAUUCUGGCCAACGGAGAUGCAGCCCGUAGUCACAGACAUGGUGACGGUGCACUGGGUGGCUGAGAGCAGCACAGCAGGCUGGUUCUGUACCCUCCUCAGGGUCACACAUGGGGAGAGCAGGAAGGAAAGGGAGGUGCAGAGACUGCAAUUUCCAUACCUGGAGCCUGGGCAUGAGCUGCCCGCCACCACCCUGCUGCCCUUCCUGGCUGCUGUGGGCCAGUGCUGCUCUCGGGGCAACAACAAGAAGCCGGGCACACUGCUCAGCCACUCCAAGUGUUGUUGGACAAUGGUCUUGGGGGAGUGGACAAUGGUCUUGGGGGAGCGGACACUGGAAGCCCCUCCCUGCCCUUCUGGCAUAGCCUCAGAUCUCCCUGGGCUCUGCUUGGGUUAUGGGUCAAAAGGACACAGUCUCACAAUGCCCCUGUCUUCUCCACACCCUACCCUGUCCUCAGGAAUAUGGUGGGAAUUUACCGCCUCCCUCCCUAGGUCCAGGCUGGCCGGCUGACCAAGUGUCCGGUGUCCCUUCUCAGUCCCUGCGCCCAGGUUGGGUUUUCCCACAUCCGUGGACACCCCCGCCACACCCCCUUUAGGUACCUCAUCCACCUCUAGGUCAGUUGCAGCAAGGGUGCAACCCAGCUGGGCACCUUCCUGGCCAUGGAGCAGCUGCUGCAGCAGGCAGGGUCUGAGUGCACCGUGGAUAUCUUUAACGUGGCCCUGCAGCAGUCUCAGGCCUGUGGCCUUAUGACCCCAACACUGGUGAGAGGCGAC